AAUAUAAAUAGUAGCAUAAAAUAAUAUCAAAGACAUUAUAAUAAAACAUAAAAAAACAUAUGAGAUGAGAGAUUAGAGAAGAUGAAAAAAAGAACAUAAGAGAUGCGAGAUUGAGAAGAAAAGUGCAAGAAAAACGUAAUUGGAAGAGAAAAUAGUAACAUAAAAGAUAAAAAAGAAAGAACAUAAUAGAGGACUUAUUAGAGUAGAAUAUGCGAGACCUACAUGGAAAAGAAGAUGAGAAGAAUGUGUGAUACUAUUAUGAGAGAUUUAAGAAGGUUGAAAUUGAAACCCUAAGUGUGAUUAAGAGAAAAUCGUUUGUAAUUGUAAGGUUAAGGCAUACUAGGUUUGAGGUUUGGGUUGGAUGUGGGAUAAGUGAAGUUUGGGUUGUAACAUAAUGCGGUUUGGUUUGGUUUAGUUCGGUUUUCAAAAUAC
rnacentral:lncRNA from 1 species